UUUGUUCUUUAUUUCCAGGAUGCGGACAAACCUCGGGAGUGCGAAAGAGGCAUCGCGCCCGAGAAACACCUCCGGAUGCCCCAAGUAGCCAGAGCGCCGGUGACCCCCCCCCUUCCUCCUCAGACCUCCGGCCCCGGCGGGGAUGCAGACGGGCUCCUGCACCGCGGACCGCGGCCGCGGCCUGAGCGCAGCCCCAGGGAAGAGGCAGGACCCGCACCUCGGGCUCCGCAGCUCCGCUGACCGGGAGAGACCCCAGACGGCCCCGUCUUGAACUUGACUUUUGAGGCACUGCGGGAGGACGGGGCGGCCCUUCCCCUCCAGCCAGGGCCGCUCGGCCUGGCCUCUUAAACCAGUGCCCCCCGAGGUGCCCCUGCAGACACGGAUCUCCGCUGCUUUCCUGCUGGGAAGUCUCUCUUGCUGUGCACAGAGCCGAGCCCCGGGGCUGGACGUGGAGCGCUGCCCGGCAGGGCCCUUCCCGAUGGGGCGAAUGGGGCCGCUCCGCACCGCGGCGGAGACAGGAGGAGCGGAGCCGCCCGGGGCCGUCGGGUUUUCCUCGGACACCCAACCGGGGUCGUGUCUGCAUCGCUCCGGACCUCGCCAGGCUUGGAAAUGAGCCGCAUCUGUUGCAGCCGGGAUACAUUCCUUGAUCGUUUCUGAGUCUGCAAUUAUUUCUCUGCCUGCCCAGUGUCCCGGAGAUGGGAAACGAAGCUGCCAUGCUCUGCUGCUGAGCCCUGAAACUCCACACAGACAUUCAAUUUAAUCUCUUGGAACAGACUGCAUUAAAGUCAUGUCAUCAGUGGACACUUGUGAUAAAAAGAAGACAUGAAGAAAGACAGUGAACUGAAAGGCUCUGCUUUGCUUUCCUGGGAAGAAAAUAGGAUAUCUGUCCCUUCAUUUGUUUCAUGGAUUCCUUGCAUUUAAAUUCAGCAGAAGGCUUCCAAUGUCUAAACUUUAUCCUGAGCGGUUUUUGUCGGUGCUGGAAAGGAAUACAGUUAAGUGUUCCAUGGGGAGUCUGAUAGAAAAAGCUAUGCGCAGUGUUAAUGAGUUGGGAUGGGGUCAUUCGUUUUUCCAUAUAGAGCCAGAAACAAAUACAGGACGUGAGGAGAAAUGAUUUGCAGGGAUCCACUGAUCUGGGUGGGAUCAGGGGUGAUCCUGAACUUCCACAGUCCCUCCAAAGACUGGCAGAAGGAUCAAGGGGGCUUUCAGCUUAAAGUGCUCCCAUGUGCUUCAAUCCUGCUCCAUGCCAGGGCUCGCUCCAUGGAUAGCUGGUGCUGGAAGAAAUGACAAACGUCUUGGGUGCCACAAGAGAUUGCAUCAGCGCUACUGAUCCUCACUCGGCUGGUUACUGAAAAUGCAUCAAGCACCUCGAUGGGUCAGACUGCUACAUUUGUAGACACGGAGUGUCAGGAAGCCUUUUUGUCAUCUUAGUACCGUUCAGUAUAUUUGUCCUCAAGUUCAAAGCAAUCCUGGCCUCAGACUUGUGAUAUUUGCUGCCCUUUCCCCUUUCUGUUGGCUCAGACCUCUUCCCUUUGAGGUCAACAUCAAAAUA